AGGCGCAGCAGGCGCGAAAACUUAACCAUGCACGAAAGUGUGAUUAGGUUACCCGGAGUGCUAAAGGUAGAACUUUUAGCUGUUAUAGAGUGUAGAUAACUCUAUGAGAAAGGAGAGGGCAAGGCUGGUGCCAGCCGCCGCGGUAA
rnacentral:rRNA from 1 species